rnacentral:rRNA from 1 species
UACGUAGGGGGCAAGCGUUGUCCGGAUUUAUUGGGCGUAAAGAGCGUGUAGGCGGCCAGACAGGUCAGCUGUGAAAACUCGAGGCUCAACCUCGAGACGUCGGUUGAAACCGUCUGGCUAGAGUCCGGAAGAGGAGAGUGGAAUUCCCGGUGUAGCGGUGAAAUGCGCAGAUAUCGGGAAGAACACCCGUGGCGAAGGCAGCUCGCUGGGACGUAACUGACGCUGAGACGCGAAAGCGUGGGGAGCAAACAGG